rnacentral:lncRNA from 1 species
GGCAUCUGCAGCAUUUUCCUCUCCAGAAGGCUUCUCAGCAUUUGUGUUCUCAGUUUCAGCAACAGGUUCUUCAGUCUCCCUAAAAUUGGCAAAAUGAGGGAACAUGUAAACAAGAAAGCUUAUUCACAAUUUCAACCACUAUAGGAACUCGAACUGUUUAAUAUCCUAGACUGCUAAAAGAGGCAUAAUACGCACUGAGCAAUUUCAUCAGUUGGAGUUCCCCAAUUACCACGACCAGCCCCAUCACGUUUAAUCUCAUUCCUGAAACCAUAUAAAAUCAAUAAUUUUACCUCCCCCAAAAAGAAAAAAAAAAUUGUAGUACUCUAUCAGCCAGUUGGAGAUGAACAUCUCAAAUCAAAUUAAUACUAACCCACGCCCUGUUCCACUGCGGCGUUCAAAUACCCUACGUGGACGUUCUCCCUCUUUAGAUUCUCCAUCGUUAAAACCACCUCGGCGACCACCGCGGAAAGAACCACGGGGUGCCCCAUACCCACGUCUUUCCGAGAGAUUCCCUCCUUCUCCCUCUUCGGAAGGUCUAUAUCCUCCAGAAAGCCCAUUGUUGCCACCAAACGUGUUA